ensembl:lncRNA SOX2-OT SOX2 overlapping transcript
AAAGAAAGAAAGAAAGAAAAAAAAAGAAAAGAAAAAAAAGAGAACCACAGCUUUGGACAAAAGUCUAUAGCCAGUGCAUUUGAAAACUCCCCUUGCACCAGGGCUGACUGUAGCUGGGGGAAGACAUUUUACUCAUUUGCUCUUUCCUUUCAUACAGUCAGCUGGUCCCUCUUCUCAGGUGUAGAUCACCUAUUAUAAUUUUACCUAAUUUUGAUACUCUGAUAAGGAAAGUCCCAGGACUUAUCAGCUGGGAUAGGCCUCACUUACAAGACAGCUCUGUUCAGUAUUUGGAAGAAAGAAAGCCUGACAGGUUUCUUCGGAAAAGUGGCCAUCCAUGGAAUGAAUGAAAUGUUCUCUUUCUAUUCCAGGGAUUGCAGUGGCAAAGCUAGGCUAGGUCUUGGAGGCUGGUGUAAGGCGAUGUGGGUGAAGGCAGGAGGCUGAUGGAAAGACUGGGGGGAAGAAAAGCCGAAAUGGAUUCACGGUGCCUUGGAUGAAGGACGAGAGGGGAACUGCAAGCUCCUUCAACUGGUUCUGUCCGGUGAGAAGUGAUCAAGCUUGGGCUGACAAGAGGCUCAGGGAGCCCUCACGUUCUUUCGCUUUUUUACCUGCCAAUCAAACUGCUACAAGACAACACCCUGAUCUGGCAUGGACAUCGCGGGUCCAAGCCUGUAGCCCCAAAUCGGAUAAUCUCUGCAGCUGAUAACAAGCAAAAGAGAAGCCAGGCAACAGCCAUAUUAAAGAAGAAAACAAUCAACUCUGAGAUCCAACUUAGAAAUAAUGUUUCAUUCAAGAUAAGGCUCGUGGCUUAGGAGAUUGUGACCUGGCUUGCAUCAUUCUAAGACUUCUAUCGUCUGUUUUCAAAACCCAAGGAGGACCUCCUUUUCUGUGUGAUAGUUCCUCAUGCUUUGCCAGCCACUGGGUCUUUAAGGAAGCUUGCCAAGAGUUCCCGGCUGGGAAGGACAGUUCGAGUUCAUCAUAGACAAUGAGCUGGCACCACAGUUUAAGUGACUCACCAACCUGGUUGCCCACUUCAAAAUGUCAAGAACCACACUAUCUAAUUGAAAGAACUGUGUUUUAGCAAAGUGUAAUUGGAUCGCCUGGCAAGAUCAUCUCAAACUAUGUCUCUGACCUUGCCUUUCAGUGGCUAUUUUGAGCACAAGAGGAGAAAGGAAAUGAUUCCUGAAUUAUAUCUUGUUUUUAAAAAUUAAGAUUAAUUAAUACUUGGUUUUAUGUUCAUUCCAUUGUAGGAACUUAGUGAUUAUUACAAAACAGUCAAAAUAGGUCAUAGCAAAAUGAACGUUUAAGAUUAGGUUAAAACAUUCCUCUGAAAUUUUAGUAUUCACUUUUGAAGUGUCAAUUACUAUAUUUCUGUAAUUUCUCAUUUUUUUCUUGGCUUAGAGUCAAGAUGAAAAAUGAUAUUUGAAUCAAAGACAUUGUUUUGUUAUAUAGCCACUCCUUUCUAAAAUGCAAAUCCACCCUCCCCUCACCAAUGCUUUAUUCUUUGUGCGCGCACACACACACACACACACACACACACACACACACACACACAGACAUACACAGAACCAGCACCCAAAUGGUAGAGGAGGUCCUUCCAAGACUUCUAGGACCUGGAUCAUGUAAGCAGUAGAUGAGAAAAUGAAGUAAGAGAUAUAGAGUAAUAACAAUAAAAGUCAAUGAUUUCAUUUUACAAAAAAGUCAUUGUGUAGUACUCAGAUAUUUUUAAGAGCAAGUAUUAUUAUGACUAAAGUAUAUUAUACUUCUAAAUUAUUAUGAUUCUCAUCUAAUUUCAAGCCACACAUAGGCGCCAUUUGAAAGCAUUUUGUGUUACAACCUAUCAACAAAAAUCAACUAAUAGUUUUAUAACGUGCAUAGGUUUACCCCAUGGGGAAUUAAAAUUUUUAUCUGCAAGUAUUUCUGUUGUUGUGAGACUUUAGGACAAGACAACAUUUGGUGUUAACAUAGAAGAAUAUUCUAUGGCUUUUUUAGCUUUAAAGUUCAUUACUCUAAAAUAAAGUACACGUGGUAUUUUUUUCUUCCUAGUGUUCUCUUAUUAUAUGUAGAGUAUUUUCGGUUGUUGUUUUUAACGUAUACAUUAUUUUUAUUAAGUCAUUUCAUAAAAGAUAAGAUAUAUACUAAUAGACCCUUGGUUUUCUCCUAAUUUAAUUAUUUCAAGUCAAGCAAAAUUGGGCAAUUUUCUUUCAGGAAAAAAAAAAUAUUGAGCAUGAUUUUGAGGUAAAACUGAUUAUUUACAGCAUCUUUUCUCUAAUAGGCUAACAUUUAUGAUGGAUCUUAUUUCAAAGUUGAUUAUUCUCAAAGAAAAGUGGAGAUAUUAGAAUUUCCGAGUAAAUUGCAUUGUUUUAAAAAGUACUUUAAUGCAUUGUUCACAUUGUUGCCAGCUAUUGACCAAAAAAGAGAAGAAGAAAAAAGAAAUAAAAAAAGCAGUAUCUGCUCCAAACGUCAAGUUUUGCAGUUUGAAAGACUUGUACAUUAUAAUUGUUUUUUUCUUUUUUGGAAAGCAGUAGUAAUUAAUACCAAAGGCAUAGACAAUUUAGGGCCAUAACCUCCCUUCCCCCCUCUCCACCUUUUUUUUUUUUUUUUUUUUUUUUUAACUUUAACCAUGAUAGGCAUCUCUGCAAGGUAGGUUUUAACAUAUUUUUUUCCUAAUUUUUUUCCCUCCAUUCAGUAAGAAGGAUAAGCUUUUAGAGUACCCAGUCACCGUGGUAACUGCCAAAAAAAUUCUCCUGAAGUUUGAAGAGGUCAGCUAGCAGGGUCAACAACCCUGGCCUCUCUCUGAGCUCGGUCUAGCAUGCCCCAGCCUGCGGUUGGAGUGUCAGGCCAGAUCUGACCCUGGGAGGUGGACCAUUCUGGCUCUGAUAUAAAUUUUUCGAGUCAGUUCAUGGCCUGGACUCUCCAGGUGGCCUCCAAAAUCGAUUUUGACCCCCUGACCCUGUCUCACGGAGGCAUAGCAUCCACCCUAAGUAAGGAUUUAGCCAGGAAUGACAGCUUUCCACUGAGUGUUAUUGGGGACAGUAUAAACAGUUUGGAAAGCAAGUAAGGAGGUGUGAGGGCUAGCAAUCAUUAAAAGCACAUUAAAAAACAAUUUUUAAAAAUCUUUAUUAGAGAAAGUUGUAAAUGCAUAUCUGUUACAGAAUUCCUGUGAUUUGUAGAGUUUUCUAGUCAGUUUUGAAUAUAAAUAGGUCACAUAUCUUUAUCUUUUUGCAUACUUUGUUACAAAUAUGCAAAUAAGAUAGGCAUACUUGCUACAAAAUAGGUACAGCAGGAAUGUAAUAUGUUCAGAAAAGGCAAACUGGUUAUUAAAACACAUUAACAGGUAAGGAGUUUCUAAUAUUUUAAAUACUAAAAUUUUACAUGUGUAUUUUGAAGUUUUUAAAAUGGAAAAAUAAAGAACCUUUAAAAAACCCAACAGUGUGGAAUAAAGAUAAACUUGUUGCACUCAAGGUACAUUUCUACUUUGUAAAGCAAGAAGCCAAUACACUCAGUUGGAUAAAAAUGAGAGAAAAAUUGUAAAUAUAGAGAGUUACAGCUUAUAGAGCUGAAGAGGAAUAAAACAAAAAAAAGUGUCUCUGAAUAACUUUAUGUAUUUUCAACAGUUUAAGAUAUCAGAAACUUGGAAAAUAAAUAUGAUAUAUAUAUAAAUCAUCAGUGAUUAUUUCCUUUUCAUUCCCCCCCGCCCCCAGGAUGCCACCGUGAGUGUUUGAUUUUCUCUAGGAAAGUAGAAUUCUCUUUGAGAGUUCUAGCCUGUGAACUCAGUAUGUAAAUGUGGCCAUCAAGAAGACAGAACUGCCAAGAGGAAAGAUUAUGAAUGUUUUUCUUCCUUAAAACCAUUCACAGUGUUUCUUCUUCCAGUGCUUUACUCAGACUUCUCCCCUUUUCCCAGCUCUGUUGAAAAUGGCUUCAAAAGCAACACUGCAGUGGCUAAACCAAUUGUACUGUGAAGUUGUUGAGAUGCCAUUUCAUCUGAAUCCUUCGUAAAAAUUAGAUUUUUAAGUAGGGGUGAAUAUCCUUUUGGGAGAGGGAAUGGGAGGGUAGAAGAAGGGGGGAAAGGACAGAGCA